GUUUGAUCCUGGCUCAGAAUCAACGCUGGCGGCGUGCCUAACACAUGCAAGUCGAACGAGAAAGGGUAGCAAUACCUGAGUAAAGUGGCGCACGGGUGAGUAACACGUGAAUCAUCUACCUCCGAGUGGGGAAUAACCUAGAGAAAUCUGGGCUAAUACCGCAUAACACUUACGAGUCAAAGCAGCAAUGCGCUUGGAGAGGAGUUCGCGGCAGAUUAGUUAGUUGGCAGGGUAAUGGCCUACCAAGACAAUGAUCUGUAUCCGGCCUGAGAGGGCGCACGGACACACUGGAACUGAAACACGGUCCAGACUCCUACGGGAGGCAGCAGUGGGGAAUUUUGCGCAAUGGGGGAAACCCUGACGCAGCAACGCCGCGUGGAGGAUGAAAUCCCUUGGGAUGUAAACUCCUUUCGAUCGGGACGAUAAUGACGGUACCGAUAGAAGAAGCCCCGGCUAACUUCGUGCCAGCCGCCGCGGUAAUACGAAGGGGGCUAGCGUUGUUCGG
rnacentral:rRNA from 1 species